CAAAGGCUUGGUCCUGACUUUACUAUCAACUCUAGCUGAACUUACACAUGCAAGUAUCCGCGCCCCUGUGAAAAUGCCCUAACAGUUCCCCGCCCGGGAACAAGGAGCUGGCAUCAGGCACAUCCACCCAUUGCCCACGACGCCUUGCUUAGCCACACCCCCAAGGGAACUCAGCAGUGAUAAACAUUAAGCCAUAAGUGAAAACUUGACUUAGUUAAGGCUAAGAGAGCCGGUAAAACUCGUGCCAGCCACCGCGGUUAUACGAGAGGCUCAAGUUGAUAGAAUACGGCGUAAAGCGUGGUUAAGGAAGAUUAUUAAACUAAAGCCGAACACCCUCAGAGCUGUUAUACGCUCACGAUGGUUAGAAGCCCAAUUACGAAAGUAGCUUUACACACCCUGAACCCACGAAAGCUAUGGCACAAACUGGGAUUAGAUACCCCACUAUGCUUAGCCUUAAACAUCAAUAGUAUAAUACACCCACUAUUCGCCCGGGAACUACGAGCGCUAGCUUAAAACCCAAAGGACUUGGCGGUGCUUUAGAUCCACCUAGAGGAGCCUGUUCUAGAACCGAUAACCCCCGUUCAACCUCACCCUUCCUUGCUCUUUUCCGCCUAUAUACCGCCGUCGCCAGUUUACCCUAUGAAGGACCCACAGUAAGCACAAUCGGCAAAGCCCAGAACGUCAGGUCGACGUGUAGCGUAUGGAAGGGGAAGAAAUGGGCUACAUUCCCUAACACAGUGUAUACGAAAGAUGCGCUGAAACGCACAUCAUGAAGGAGGAUUUAGCAGUAAGCAGGAAAUAGAGUGUCCCGCUGAAAUCGGCCCUGAAGCGCGCACACACCGCCCGUCAUUCUCCCCAAACUUAAACAAACACCUAACCAAGACCCUAUAAUUUCUAAGGGGAGGCAAGUCGUAACAUGGUAAGUGUACCGGAAGGUGCACUUGGAACAAAU
rnacentral:ncRNA from 1 species